UUGUUGCGGCUCGACUGCGCAGGGCCGCGUUCGAUGUCUUUCUAAAACUAAGUUAUUGUUCUAUCUCUCUACUAUUGUAUUUCAAUUCGUUUUGUUGCUGAUGGAAAUUCUCAUGACUUGGUUCUAAGUACAAAGGCAGUAUAAAGGUAUCAAUGUAUGAAUUAAACUAUUUCUGUUGAAUGCUAAUCAUGUACGCAUAUGUGUUUUGCUAUGUUUCUCUGUAAUAAACUUCAUCCUAUAUUUCUGAAUUUCUAAAACAUGAAGUGAGGAAAGUGAAAUGCAUAUAUGAAGAUAGUGAACUGAGAUGGCAUGAAAUACCUUGAAUGAUGCUUGGUGUUUAUGGACUGCUCGUUGGUGUUGAAUGAAGCAAGAAUUAACUGAUACUUGAAAAUUUCUUUGGCAGAGAAUGAUGAAAACGUUUAAGUGUGGAAUGGGUAUGAGGAUGUUAUAUGCUUUCAAUCUGUGAAGGUGUUCGGUGUGAAUAUGCACACAUUUUUGUCAAAAAUGUGCAGAAUGGAGUCAAAAAGAAUACAGACAAGCGUGGAGAGUUGGAGUCAAAAGAUGCACAGUGUAGGCGUGGAGUUGGAGAGCGUGCUGUGCAUUUAUUUCCUUCACUUAUCUUAUCUUAGAC
rnacentral:lncRNA from 1 species